rnacentral:rRNA from 1 species
UACGAAGGGGGCUAGCGUUGCUCGGAAUCACUGGGCGUAAAGGGUGCGUAGGCGGGUCUUUAAGUCAGGGGUGAAAUCCUGGAGCUCAACUCCAGAACUGCCUUUGAUACUGGCAAUCUAGAGUCCGGAAGAGGUUAGUGGAAUUCCCAGUGUAGAGGUGAAAUUCGUAGAUAUUGGGAAGAACACCAGUGGCGAAGGCGGCUAACUGGUCCGGUACUGACGCUGAGGUGCGAAAGCGUGGGGAGCAAACAGG